rnacentral:rRNA from 1 species
UACGUAGGGGGCAAGCGUUGUCCGGAUUUAUUGGGCGUAAAGAGCUCGUAGGCGGUUUGUCGCGUCUGCUGUGAAAACCUAAGGCUCAACCUUGGGCUUGCAGUGGGUACGGGCAGACUAGAGUGCGGUAGGGGUGACUGGAAUUCCUGGUGUAGCGGUGGAAUGCGCAGAUAUCAGGAGGAACACCGAUGGCGAAGGCAGGUCACUGGGCCGCAACUGACGCUGAGGAGCGGAAAGCAUGGGGAGCGAACAGG